AAAACGGCCCUUUUCAGGGCCACCAAAUUGUACGCAAUGAUGCGG
rfam:Trichuris suis scaffold311.1, whole genome shotgun sequence.